rnacentral:rRNA from 1 species
UACGAAGGGGGCUAGCGUUGCUCGGAAUUACUGGGCGUAAAGCGUGCGCAGGCGGUUUUGUAAGUUUGUCGUGAAAGCCCCGGGCUCAACCUGGGAAUUGCGAUGAAGACUGCAAGGCUUGAAUCUGGCAGAGGGGGGUAGAAUUCCACGUGUAGCAGUGAAAUGCGUAGAGAUGUGGAGGAACACCGAUGGCGAAGGCAGCCCCCUGGGUCAAGAUUGACGCUCAUGCACGAAAGCGUGGGGAGCAAACAGG